AAAAAAACAAUAAUAAUACAAAGGAAACUCAAAAUAAAAACAAACUCUACAAUUCAACAAACUCCUCAAUCUUCCUCCUCUUGGCCACCACCAAUAGAUCCAAGGACGUCCUCCAUCUCAUCGCCAUGGGUCGCACCACCUCCUGCACCCCCCAUAAAAGUUGGCCUGCCCUCAGGCCAAUUAGCAUUCAAAAGCAAAAAAAAACAUGAGACUGGAAUUUCCCAGUUCGCGACGCGAAAC
rnacentral:lncRNA from 1 species